rnacentral:tRNA from 1 species
GGAAGAUUGGCUGAGAGGUCUAAGGCACAGCACUGCUAAUGCUGCGUGGGCAUAUGCUCCACCAAGGGUUCGAAUCCCUUAUCUUCCGC